GACGAACGCUGGCGGCGUGCUUAACACAUGCAAGUCGAACGGAAAGGCCCUGCUUUUGUGGGGUGCUCGAGUGGCGAACGGGUGAGUAACACGUGAGUAACCUGCCCUUGACUUUGGGAUAACUUCAGGAAACUGGGGCUAAUACCGGAUAGGAGCUCCUGCUGCAUGGUGGGGGUUGGAAAGUUUCGGCGGUUGGGGAUGGACUCGCGGCUUAUCAGCUUGUUGGUGGGGUAGUGGCUUACCAAGGCUUUGACGGGUAGCCGGCCUGAGAGGGUGACCGGGCACCAUGGGGCUGAGGUACGGCCCAGACUGCUACGGGGGGCAGCAGUGGGGAAUAUUGCACAAUGGGCGGAAGCCUGAUGCAGCGACGCCGCGUGCGGGAUGACGGCCUUCGGGGUGUGAACCGCUUUCGCCUGUGACGAAGCGUGAGUGACGGUAAUGGGUAAAGAAGCACCGGCUAACUACGUG
rnacentral:rRNA from 1 species